rnacentral:misc_RNA from 1 species
AAAAAAACCGGCACUUCAUUGCUUUCUAAACUCGCCGGAGAAAAAGACGGAAAUGCUCGCCGGUGUUCUCCGGCGUCCAUAAUCAUUUCCGACAACAACGUCAUCCAGAUCUCCGGCAGCAAUAAUGGCGCACCACAACAAAACGACGUCGUUGAUUAAUCAACAAGUUCCUCUAGUCAUAACACUCAAUUGCAUCGAAGACACUACGUUAGAACAAGAAUGUCUCUCCGGCAUCGCACUAAUCGAACACGUCCCACUCAGCCGCUUAGCGGAAGCACGGAUCGAGUCAGCUACAGCCGUACUUCUUCACUCACUAGCGUUCCUUCCACGCGCGGCACAACGCCGGCUCCGUUCAUGGCAGCUUAUUCUCUGUCUCGGCUCCUCCGACCGAGCUGUCGACUCAGCCCUCGCUUCUGACCUUGGACUUUCUCGGCUUGUUCAUGUAGAUGUUAACCGCGCUGAAGAGGUUGCGGAUACUGUUAUGGCUCUUAUCCUUGGUUUGCUUCGCCGUACUCAUCUUCUCUCUCGUCAUACGUUAUCGGCUUCCGGCUGGCUAGGCUCCGUUCAGCCUCUGUGCCGUGGAAUGCGCCGCUGUCGCGGCCUUGUACUGGGAAUUGUUGGUAGAUCUGCGUCUGCAAG